rnacentral:lncRNA from 1 species
CACCCCACUGCCUCCCGUCGUCGUCCCCUUCCCCAAUGACCAUCUACUCCUCCGUCUCCAGCAACGACCACCAGCGUCGCCGCUCCUCACCACCCACACACACGCACAGUUUUAUCUCCGUUUAGCCGGAAAACACUGACACAGCCACACGCACACACAAAACAGAGAUCGGAGGAAAUCAGAGAAAUGAUUUUUUGGGUUCGAUUGCUGCAUAGUGAGGUAGUUGUUUGAAUUUGGUUUGGAGUUCCGGCCUCUGUCCAGGUCCGUUUGUGGUUCAGAUCGUGUAUGUUGUUCAAAAAGGAGGCUAGGCAAUCUAAAGCUGAAAAACAUUAAGAGAGAUUCUGAAAAUUCAGAAUAAGGAAGUGAGUUUAUAGUUUAAGAUUUUAAGGGUAUCGAACCAAAGAGAGCUCAAGAGAUAAAACUUCAAAAAAUACCCAACGACUGCAUUUUUUUUGUUUUAUUGAAUUCCUUCUCUGAUUUUUUUUAAGUUCAAAGUUUUCAAAGAAUUUCUGGUUCAUCCUGGGUCUAAAAUGGUCUAGAAGAACUGAGUACUGAUGUUGUUGACAUGCUAAGCUGCUGUUACUGCUGAAAUCCUCACCUUUAUGUUUCAUCUUUACUUCCAGGUACACGACUAUGUAACUCUUGGUUUCUGGAAUUAAUUUGAAGGAAAGAAAUGAAAUGAAGACUUGAAGCUUUGAAACUACUUCUAUCUUACUGAUUUUAUAGUAGUAUGUUGAUUUAUUAUCUAAUCUAUAUUAUUACUACGUCUAGAUUAGCUUUAAUUAAGUAAGGUAUAGCUAUCAAGGGAAUUAAUAUGCAUAUUUUGGAGUCUUAGUCACUAUGUCAAGGAGCUGCAGCAAUGUGCUUAUUUUAAUACCUGCGUUUUAGUUUCAGUUGCGAUUGAAACUUGAAGUAAGCAUUCUUGUUCGUAUGUGAUUUUGUAAUGAGUAGCUAAAACCUUAGUUGGAAUUACAGUUGUUUAGUUAGGUAGUGUUGUUGUUGUUAUUAGAGGUGUGAUGCAGUAUGUUCGUGUCGCGAAAUAUCAGUUCAUAUUCUUGUUUCAAUGUUAUGAAGUUCAUUUAUAUGGAAAGAAGUGAGUUGUGUGCGCAAUUAAGAACGCCAAUACUGCCAUUCAUUUGCUUCAAGAUGUUAACAUUUGUGCUCUACUUCAAAGCAUAUUUCAGAAAGUUUAUCGAGAAGAUAAGAUAAUAUGACUUGAGUGGCAUUUAAAGAAGUCCAAAAGAGGAUAAUCUUUACUGUUCAUCAUUUUGCUUGAAUGUUAUAAUAGUAGUAGGUUAAAUAUCAUACUCUUUUUUGUAUAGUUUUGAAAAAAAAGGAUUCAAUCAAAUAAUGGACUUUAUUGUUUGAAAAUCUCCUAUUAUAUGAUUUUUUUUUUGGGGAAAAAAUGAUGUAUGAUUUCGUUUGAGAUAAUGGUG